CCCAACGGGCGUGGCGGGGCGGGGCGUCGCGCGCGGUGGGGGCGGGGUAUGGCGCGCUGUGCGGCGCAGGGCGGCUGGCACAAACGGCGGCGCCGGGGCCGGAGGAAAAAGCUCGCCACCCUGAAGGGUCCCUUCCCAAGCCCUUAGGGACUGCAGAGGACUUGGGGACCAGCAAGCAACCCCCAGGGCACCAGAAGAGCUCUUGCUGUCUGCCCUGCCUCACCCUGCCCCACGCCAGGCCUGGUGGCCCCCAGCUGCAUCAAGAGGCAGAGGAGGAGGCGGAGGAGGGUGGCACCAUGGGCCCGGGCGGUGCCCUCCAUGCCCGGGGGAUGAAGACACUGCUGCCAUGGACAGCCCGUGCCAGCCGCAGCCCCUAAGUCAGGCUCUCCCUCAGUUACCAGGGUCUUCGUCAGAGCCCUUAGAGCCUGGCCGGGCCAGGAUGGGGGUGGAGAGUUACCUGCCCUGUCCCCUGCUCCCCUCCUACCACUGUCCAGGAGUGCCUAGUGAGGCCUCGGCGGGGAGUGGGACUCCCAGAGCCACAGCCACCUCUACCACUGCCAGCCCCCUUCGGGACGGUUUUGGCGGGCAGGAUGGUGGUGAGCUGCGGCCGCUGCAGAGUGAAGGCGCUGCAGCAUUGGUCACCAAGGGGUGCCAGCGACUGGCAGCCCAGGGCGCCCGGCCUGAGGCCCCCAAACGGAAAUGGGCCGAGGAUGGUGGGGAUGCCCCUUCACCCAGCAAGCGGCCCUGGGCCAGGCAAGAGAACCAGGAGGCAGAGCGGGAGGGUGGCAUGAGCUGCGGCUGCAGCAGUGGCAGUGGUGAGGCCAGUGCUGGGCUGAUGGAGGAGGCGCUGCCCUCUGCACCUGAGCGCCUGGCCCUGGACUAUAUCGUGCCCUGCAUGCGGUACUAUGGCAUCUGCGUCAAGGACAGCUUCCUGGGGGCAGCACUGGGCGGCCACGUGCUGGCCGAGGUGGAGGCCCUCAAACGGGGUGGGCGCCUGCGAGACGGGCAGCUAGUGAGCCAGCGGGCGAUCCCGCCGCGCAGCAUCCGUGGGGACCAGAUUGCCUGGGUGGAAGGCCAUGAACCAGGCUGCCGAAGCAUUGGUGCCCUCAUGGCCCACGUGGACGCCGUCAUCCGCCACUGCGCAGGGCGGCUGGGCAGCUAUGUCAUCAACGGGCGCACCAAGGCCAUGGUGGCGUGUUACCCAGGCAACGGGCUCGGGUAUGUAAGGCACGUUGACAAUCCCCACGGCGAUGGGCGCUGCAUCACCUGUAUCUAUUACCUGAAUCAGAACUGGGACGUUAAGGUGCAUGGCGGCCUGCUGCAGAUCUUCCCUGAGGGCCGGCCGGUGGUAGCCAACAUCGAACCACUCUUUGACCGGUUGCUCAUUUUCUGGUCUGACCGGCGGAACCCCCACGAGGUGAAGCCAGCCUAUGCAACCAGGUACGCCAUCACUGUCUGGUAUUUUGAUGCCAAGGAGCGGGCAGCAGCCAAAGACAAGUAUCAGCUAGCAUCAGGACAGAAAGGUGUCCAAGUACCUGUAUCACAGCCGCCUACGCCCACCUAGUGGCCAGUCCCAGAGCCGCAUGGCAGACAGCUUGCCCUGACUUCAGGAGAGCCCUGGGCCUGUAUUGGCUGCUCCUUCCCUGCCGCCGCUGCUGCUUCUGACCUUGCCUCUGUCCUGCCUGGCGUGGAGGGCUCUGUCUGUUGCUGAGGACCAAGGAGGAGAAGAGACCUUUGCUGCCCUAUGAUGGGGGCUGGGGUUGUGACCUGGACAGGGGGCAGCCUUGGAGGCAACCGUUACCAACUGAAGCUGGGGGCCUGGGUCCUACCCUGUCUGGUCAUGACCCCAUUAGGUGUGGAGAGCUGGGAGGAGGCAUUGUCACUUCCCACCAGGAUGCAGGACUUGGGGCUGAGGUAGGUCUGUGUACUCGGGAUUUGGCCUAAGGCUGGACGCACAAGGGAGAGACUGUGGCCGGCCCUCUCACCUCGCCCCAUCUGGAGCUCAUGAUGCGGAAGUUGUCACUGAAGAGGUUCAGGAGCCUCAGGAACUCCGGGUCCCCCGUAGCCAUAGCGGUUCCCGAAGACAAGAACAGAUAACAUUGGAUACAGCAUUAUCCAGUAGUCGCACGGGGUCAAACGGGGCUCCUGGGGGUAGGAACAGGACGGUAGUCAUAAUGCGUGGUCCUGCCCCCAGCCAGCCCCAUGGGCUUACUGGCUUCCUUCCACCCAAGUACCUUCCCGUGGCCUCAUCUUGGCAGUCCAAGGGCCACUCCCACACCAGGCCCUUCUGCCCUCCCGGCCAGGCCGCACCAAUGGUGGCUUGCAUUUCGUCUAGCAGACAAGCCGUCUCCUCCAGGACGUGCGCCUGGAUGGUCCGUGUACCUGACCCCAACUCCUUCGGCGCUCGAACUGCAAAAUUGCGCAGUGUCCACCAGCGCGGCCCGUUAGAAAACAAGAUUCCUGUGGUAGGGACAGGAAAGGAGGCGGGCCCGGGAGUUGGCCACGCCCCAUCCAGGAAUCGCCAGGUCACUGGCUACAUCCCUUUCGGGGCCUCCGACUCCUGCGGCCGAAUUCCUGCGCUUUGCUUCUUUACCAGACCUGAUGAACCUCGAUUCGAACCUUACGCUUUGGCGCCGCCGCGCCCUCUCUCGGCCGUUUGCAUCUCAUUAGCUGGAGUCUCUAUUAGGCCCCGCCCCCAUUUGCCCGCCUCUACCGUUUACGGGCCCAGCCUGAGGUGUGCAGGCCGGCACGGCCAGCGCCCGGGCCUCACCGUUUCCGCGUGUGAAGCGUUCGAAGACUGCCAUGGACCCGCGGCCGGAGAAGGCAUCCGCCUGUAGCACUAACGCGUCCCGCAGCGCUGCGUAGCCGCACAGCACCACUGCAGGGCGCGGGCCCAGCUGCACUGUGGACACCGGGCCCCGGAGAGCUACAGGGAGCCGGUGCUCAGCUGGUGCCCAUCGGGUUUCUCAUCGGAGCCCUCGCCCCCAGCUCUCUCUUCCUUCAGACCCAGGAGUCCUCGUCUCGGGCCCUCAUUCCUCAGGCCCAGGAGUUCAGAUCCCCAGCUCCUUCCUCCCUGAGAUCCAGGAGUCCAGGCCCCCACUUCCUUCUUCCCUUGGGACCUAGAAGUCCAGCUUCCCAGCCUCCUGCACCCUCAGAGUCGGGCUCCUGGGCCCUCAGUACUCAGCCUCCCCACCUUGAAUCAGGGGAACAGACCCUCUGCUCCCGUCUUUCCACAACCUGAUUUCCUGCUCUGGGCUCUUUCCUUACCACCCAGUGUCCCGACCCCAAGCUCUCCACUCUCCCUAGUCUCCUUUCCUAGAACUCAGGAGCCCGGAGCACUCAUCCUUCCUGUCCUUCCUCAGGGUCUUAGAGUACAAGCCCUUAGCUGUCUUCCUUCAGGAGGAGUUCUAGUCCCCAGCCCCACCUCCACGGAUCCAAACUUCCGUUCCCCCAUUCCUGUAGGGAAUGGAGUGCGUGGUCCAUGCCUCCGGACUGCAGCUGCAAGUUCCCCAGCAAGGGGAGUGGCCUGGGCCGGGGAGGUAGGGACCCCUGCCUCUGAGCGCGGCACCCACCCUACCCCUACCGCGCCAGCGCCAGCACCAGAAGCCACAACAGCAGCGCUGCAAUACCCGUGAUCAUCAUGCCUGCAGUUCUCCACGCCUGGACCUCUAUUUGAUUUCCAAAGGGUCUUGGGUGGAGGAGGGGCGGAGACCCGACGUGGGAGGAGUGGGCGUCUCUGGGCUGCUCAUUCCGUGGAUUCCCCAACCAGACAUCUCCACCGCGCCCCCAGCCCUAGUGGAACUGUGCCCUGGCUCCCCCUGGCUUUUUUUUGUGUGUGUGCCUGCCUCAGCCUGCCCUACUUAGCAACUUUUGUGCACCAGCAUUUUCCUGUCAACACACCUGGCCAACGGGUGCAGCCUCCCGAGUCCCUAGCACCUUUGAGUCCAAUUUACUUGGCCUGCAGGUGUGUAUUCCUCAAUCUCUGGGCCCCCUGAAUGCUGUACCCUGGACCUCUGAUUCCUAAAUACACGCUGACUCUCAAAUACA